GUGCAGCAGUCGCGAAAACUCCACAAUGCGCGAAAGCGCGAUGGGGCUAUCCCGAGUGCCGUCCGCUGAGGAUGGCUUUUCUCCAGUGUAAGGAGCUGGAGGAAUAAGGAGAGGGCAAGUCUGGUGUCAGCCGCCGCGGUAAUACCAGCUCUCCGAGUGGUAGGGACGUUUAUUGGGCUUAAAGCGUCCGUAGCCGGCUCAGCAAGUCCUCCGUUAAAUCCAGCGAUUCAAUCGUUGGACUGCGGGGGAUACUGCUGGGCUAGGGGACGGGAGAGGCCGACGGUAUUCCCGGAGUAGGGGUGAAAUCCUAUAAUUCCGGGAGGACCACCGAGUGGCGAAGGCUGUCGGCUAGAACGAGCUCGACGGUGAGGGACGAAAGCUGGGGAGCGAACCGGAUUAGAUACCCGCGUAGU
rnacentral:rRNA from 1 species